GAUGAACGCUGACGGCGUGCCUAAUACAUGCAAGUCGAGCGAACGGACGAGAAGCUUGCUUCUCUGAUGUUAGCGGCGGACGGGUGAGUAACACGUGGAUAACCUACCUAUAAGACUGGGAUAACUUCGGGAAACCGGAGCUAAUACCGGAUAAUAUUUUGAACCGCAUGGUUCAAAAGUGAAAGACGGUCUUGCUGUCACUUAUAGAUGGAUCCGCGCUGCAUUAGCUAGUUGGUAAGGUAACGGCUUACCAAGGCAACGAUGCAUAGCCGACCUGAGAGGGUGACCGGCCACACUGGAACUGAGACACGGUCCAGACUCCUACGGGAGGCAGCAGUAGGGAAUCUUCCGCAAUGGGCGAAAGCCUGACGGAGCAACGCCGCGUGAGUGAUGAAGGUCUUCGGAUUGUAAAACUCUGUUAUUAGGGAAGAACAUAUGUGUAAGUAACUGUGCACAUCUUGACGGUACCUAAUCAGAAAGCCACGGCUAACUACGUG
rnacentral:rRNA from 1 species